GGAAGAGAGCCAAUAGAGUGACAUAAGCAAAUAAUUAGUCGGUCGUAAGUUCAAGGCGUAAGCUGAAAAUUUUCAAGUUAUAUGUUAAAAAUGUAUAUUUAUAUAUAUAUAAAAUAAUGUAUUAAUAAUUGAAAAUAAUUGAACGAAACGGAAUACGGUCCCAGUUCCGUAAACUGUUUGUUUAUUAAAUAUAGGCCUUGUGCUAAUCCUGGCAACAGGAACGACCAUAAAGAAGCCGUCGAGUGAAAAUUUGUAGCGGCUUCACAUAAACUUCUCAACCGGCCGUACCAAUAUCCGCAGCUGGUCUCCAAGGUGAACAGUCUCU
rnacentral:ncRNA from 1 species